GCGCAACCCUAUCUUUAGUUGCCAUCAUUGAGUUGGGCACUCUAAGGAGACUGCCGGUGUCAAACCGGAGGAAGGUAGGGGGAUGACGUCAAGUCCUCAUGGCCUUUAUGACCAGGGCUACACACGUACUACAAUGGUCGGUACAGAGGGUUGCCAAGCCGCGAGGUGGAGCCAAUCCCUUAAAGCCGAUCGUAGUCCGGAUCGUAGUCUGCAACUCGACUACGUGAAGUCGGAAUCGCUAGUAAUCGCAGAUCAGCAUGCUGCGGUGAAUACGUUCCCGGGUCUU
rnacentral:rRNA from 1 species